rnacentral:tRNA from 1 species
GGUGAUUUAGCUUAGUGGUAGAGCGCUUGCCUAGCAAGCGCAAGGCCCUGGGUUCGGUUCCCAGCUCCG